CCCCAAAAACACAAAGUUUUGGUCCUAAACUUGCCAUUGUUUUUUAUCAAAAUUAUACAUGCAAGCCUCCACACGCCAGUGAGAAUGCCCACACACCCCUAAACAGCAAAUCGGAGCGGGCAUCAGGAUACAACAAUUUAGCCAAGGACGCCUUGCACGUGCCACACCCCCACGGGCCCUCAGCAGUAAUUAACAUUAAAACAUGAGCGAAAGCUCGAAUUAGUUAUGAGUAAUAUGGUCGGUAAAUUUCGUGCCAGCCACCGCGGUUAUACGAAAGACCAAAAACAAUGACCAGCGGCGUAAAGCGUGACUCGGAACAACAAUGUCAACUAAAGGAGAACGAUUGCCAAGUUGUAAAACACUACUGCACGUUAGAAUUACAAUAAAACACCUUUAGGACCCCCCCCCCCUCACGAAAGCUAAGAAACAAACUGGGAUUAGAUACCCCACUAUGCCUAGCCCUAAACACAAGUAGUAUAAACACAAUACUAUUCGCCAGAGAACUACAAGCAAAAAGCUAAAAACUCCAAGGAUUUGGCGGUGCUUCAAAUCAACCUAGAGGAGCCUGUCCUAUAAUCGAUACCCCACGUUUUACCUUACCCCUUCUAGCAAUCAGCCUAUAUACCGCCGUCGUCAGCCUACCUUAUGAAAGAGAUAAAGUAAGCAAAAAAGUUAAUAACUAACACGUCAGGUCAAGGUGUAGCACAUGGAGCGGUAGAGAUGGGCUACAUUUUUCCAAAGGAAACACGAAUAGUAAGUUGAAACACACACUUGAAGGCGGAUUUAGUAGUAAAAUAAACAAGAAUAAUCACUUUAAACCUGCUCUGAAGCGCGCACACACCGCCCGUCACCCUCAUCG
rnacentral:ncRNA from 1 species